rnacentral:sRNA from 1 species
AAUAUAAACAGGUGAUGCGGUAUUCUAGUCAGCAAUUCUUUGUCUGAAGGCGGGCCUAAAAAUCCGUUAAGAGCACAUCGAUGAAGUUUCUGGUGUUGGCUUCUUACGCCCAGUUUGGGGCUGAUACUGGAAGUUAAGGUUAUAGGGGAACCAUCAAUGGCAUGAUGAUCUUACCCUGUUUCCGUGGAGACCCAAAACUGUGGGGAACUUUUUUUGGUCGGAAAGGGAACUAUGGCUUGGGAAGAACCUGCAUUCGGAUGCACUGGGUGCAGUGUAGCUUGACUUGCGUGGUUAAGGUGGAAUAUCAGAACAGCUUGGAUGAUCACCCGGACCAAGGUUUUAUCCGAGUUAUGAAACCGGUACUGCAAAAGAGUCUAAGACAUCGAGGCGCUGCCGAGGAAAACUCCUAGACCGUUUAUUUUAUAAGGCUUAACCGGGAUUAAAGUACGGACUAAGUGGCAAUCCGGUACCGUUAAGGAUUUUUGAGUAAAGGGAAACCGCCCCACCGGCGACGGUGAGGUUCAAAAAUGGGAAAGCCUUCCGGACCAAAGCCGUAGCGUUUACCGGCGAAGUUGUCACCUGUUUUAUCU